UACGGGGGGGCAAGCGUUGUUCGGAAUUACUGGGCGUAAAGGGCUCGUAGGCGGCCAACUAAGUCAGACGUGAAAUCCCUCGGCUUAACCGGGGAACUGCAUCUGAUACUGGAUGGCUUGAGAUUGGGAGAGGGAUGCGGAAUUCCAGGUGUAGCGGUGAAAUGCGUAGAUAUCUGGAGGAACACCGGUGGCGAAGGCGGCAUCCUGGACCGACACUGACGCUGAGGAGCGAAAGCUAGGGAGCAAACGGG
rnacentral:rRNA from 1 species